UCCCUGGCAGUCCAGUGGUUAGAAUUUUGUACUUUCACUGCCAAAGGCCCAGGUUCGACCCCUGGUCAGGGAA
rnacentral:tRNA from 1 species